rnacentral:rRNA from 1 species
GCCAGACUCCUACGGGAGGCAGCAGUGAGGAAUAUUGGUCAAUGGGCGAGAGCCUGAACCAGCCAAGUCGCGUGAGGGAAGACGGUCCUAUGGAUUGUAAACCUCUUUUGCCGGGGAGCAAAAAGCGGUACGUGUACCGCAUCGAGAGUACCCGGAGAAAAAGCAUCGGCUAACUCCGUGCCAGCAGCCGCGGUAAUACGGAGGAUGCGAGCGUUAUCCGGAUUUAUUGGGUUUAAAGGGUGCGUAGGCGGGCUUUUAAGUCAGCGGUAAAAAUUCGGGGCUCAACCCCGUCGUGCCGUUGAAACUGGCGCGCUUGAGUUCAGGCGAGGUAGGCGGAAUUCGUGGUGUAGCGGUGAAAUGCAUAGAUAUCACGAAGAACUCCGAUUGCGAAGGCAGCUUACCAGUCUGCGACUGACGCUCAGGCACGAAAGUGUGGGUAUCGAACAGGAUUAGAUACCCUUGUAA